rnacentral:rRNA from 1 species
UACGUAGGCAGCAAGCGUUGUUCGGAAUUACUGGGCGUAAAGGGCGCGCAGGCGGCUCAGACAGUCAGAUGUGAAAACCCCGGGCUUAACCUGGGAACUGCAUUUGAUACUACUGAGCUUGAGUACGAGAGAGGUGAGUGGAAUUCCCAGUGUAGAGGUGAAAUUCGUAGAUAUUGGGAAGAACACCGGUGGCGAAGGCGGCUCACUGGCUCGUAACUGACGCUCAUGCACGACAGCGUGGGGAUCAAACAGG